rnacentral:rRNA from 1 species
UACAGAGGGGGCAAGCGUUGUUCGGAAUUACUGGGCGUAAAGGGCGCGUAGGCGGCCUGUUAAGUCGAACGUGAAAUCCCCGGGCUCAACCCGGGAACUGCGUCCGAUACUUCCGAGCUGGAGGUAGGUAGGGGAGAUCGGAAUUCCUGGUGUAGCGGUGAAAUGCGCAGAUAUCAGGAGGAACACCGGUGGCGAAGGCGGAUCUCUGGGCCUUACCUGACGCUGAGGCGCGAAAGCUAGGGGAGCGAAUGGG